UCCGCAUUAGUGUAGGGGUUAACAUACUCCGCUUUCAAAUAGAGCUCCGGAGAGCCCCGGGUUCGAUUCCCGGAUGCGGAA
rnacentral:tRNA from 1 species